rnacentral:rRNA from 1 species
GAUGAACGCUGGCGGCGUGCCUAAUACAUGCAAGUCGAGCGAACAGACGAGGAGCUUGCUCCUCUGACGUUAGCGGCGGACGGGUGAGUAACACGUGGAUAACCUACCUAUAAGACUGGGAUAACUUCGGGAAACCGGAGCUAAUACCGGAUAAUAUAUUGAACCGCAUGGAUCAAUAGUGAAAGACGGUUUUGCUGUCACUUAUAGAUGGAUCCGCGCCGCAUUAGCUAGUUGGUAAGGUAACGGCUUACCAAGGCGACGAUGCGUAGCCGACCUGAGAGGGUGAUCGGCCACACUGGAACUGAGACACGGUCCAGACUCCUACGGGAGGCAGCAGUAGGGAAUCUUCCGCAAUGGGCGAAAGCCUGACGGAGCAACGCCGCGUGAGUGAUGAAGGUCUUCGGAUCGUAAAACUCUGUUAUUAGGGAAGAACAAAUGUGUAAGUAACUAUGCACGUCUUGACGGUACCUAAUCAGAAAGCCACGGCUAACUACGUG